UACGUAGGCAGCGAGCGUUGUUCGGAGUUACUGGGCGUAAAGCGUGCGUAGGCGGUGUCUUAAGUUUGUUGUGAAAUCUCCCGGCUUAACCGGGAGGGUGCGGCGAAUACUGAGAUGCUGGAGUGCGGGAGAGGUAAGCGGAAUUCCUGGUGUAGCGGUGAAAUGCGUAGAUAUCAGGAGGAACACCUGCGGUGUGAGGACGCUUACUGGACCGUAACUGACGCUGAGGCACGAAAGCGUGGGUAGCAAACAGG
rnacentral:rRNA from 1 species